GCAGGGAGUGAUUCAUGAGUCUACAAACACGAUUGGUUGUCAGCACAGUCUCCGAGCACGGCAUAGAGACUGAUCGACCAGUCCCCGAGCAUGGUUGGGAACGUAAACGUGCUCGGUGGUCGGCACAGUCUCCGAGCACGGCGUAGAGACUGGUAGACAAGUCCCCGAGCGUGGUUGGGAACAUAAACGUGCUCAGUGGUCGGCACAAUCUUCGAACACAACAUAGAGACUAGUCGACAAGUCCCCGAGUGUGGUUAGAAACGUAAACGUGCUCGGUGGUCGGAGCAGUCCCCGAGCAUAGCGUAGGGAAUAGUCGACGAGUCCCCGAGCGUAGCUUGUUGACCGAGCCAAACUUCUGAAAAAUAAAUAUAGAGAAUAUGUAGUACAUGAUGUAUAAAUAAACUUUAGAUAAAAAAUCAGCACUGAGAUAAGUUUUAGAUUUUUUAUUAUAAAAUUAGCACAAGUAGUUAAUUCAUCUUAGAGCUCGUACCAGCUCUGGUCUAGCCAACAAUCAGCAUGAGGUGUGGAACCUAGGCACGCGUAGGAUUGCCAGCCUCGCCAGAGAGCUACUGCCGACCACCCGGAACGCAGAGAACAGAUCUCAUGCACGUGUAGGGAGGAGUCGGAGACAGUGCCGGCUCUGGAAAAUUCGUGUGGAAAACUCGUGUAGGAGAAAAAACUAGUCGACUAACCAAAAAGUUAUUUUAAAGAAUAAUAAAAAAAAAUAUUAUGCUAAAAAUAAAUAAAAUAUUAGAAGUGUACUUAUCUUUGGAAGAAAGUCUAGUCGGUGACGACAAAAUUGUCCGGCCC
rnacentral:lncRNA from 1 species